CAGACAAGCAGUGACUUAAACCCAGACCAAUCUACAUCCAGGACUACAGCAAUGACGUAGCCUAUGUGAGUCUCUGAGAGGGUGAACAAUGGGACAGAGUUCAGAAGCUGGCAGAAGCAGGGCUGGGCUGAGAGCUGAGAGAGGAGAGCUGAGAGGAUCCUCCCCCUGAGAGCUGCCUUUACCGCCCCUCCUCUCCCAUUCCAAGAUGACAUCAUACCUAUUCAUGGUGGUGUGUCGCACCCUGCUGCAGACAGAAAACAGCCAAACAAUUUGGUCUUCACUUUGCCAUGUUAGUUAUAAAAAAGCAUUAUCGUUGUAUCCAUGUCUUCAAAUAGCAACAAUAUUAUUAAUGGAAUCAAAUAUAAGUUCAUUUAUUUGUUGAAUGUGGUUUAUUUUGUUAACUAGGGAAAUAAUAUAAGCAAUGCGUCCAGGUACUCAUUGUACAUUUGUUAAGUUGUUGUGUAAUGAAAAAUAUAUAAAUGGGGGGAAAAAAUAUCGUAUUCAUUUACAAAUUGGUACGCAUUCUCCUUGUACCGCUUUGCUCCUACUCUUCAAUUUUUGUCCAAACAAUUAAUUGUGGAAAAAAUAUGUGUUUUCAAGUAUUGAAACACAUAAAACAAAUGUUAUAAAAUAAAUGAUGGCAAGACAAAAUAAUUGUUAAAAAUUAAGACAAAAUAAUUGUUAAAAAUUACAUUUAAGGGCAUACAGUUUAAUUGUAUCUUCUAAAAACGUAAGUGCAUUUGAAACUCAGCAGAAACAUAUCCUUAAUUUCUUAAUCAUAAUAAGGCAUAUCUGUGACAAA